rnacentral:rRNA from 1 species
UACGUAGGGGGCGAGCGUUUGUCCGGAUUUAUUGGGCGUAAAGAGCUCGUAGGCGGUUUGGUAAGUUGGAUGUGAAAUCUCCAGGCUCAACUUGGAGGGGUCAUUCGAUACUGCCAUGACUAGAGUUCGGUAGGGGAGUGUGGAAUUCCUGGUGGAGCGGUGAAAUGCGCAGAUAUCAGGAGGAACACCGGUGGCGAAGGCGGGUCUCUGGGCCGAUACUGACGCUGAGGAGCGAAAGCGUGGGGAGCGAACAGG